rnacentral:lncRNA from 1 species
AGCUCCCCUGGUUUCCUCUUCGUUCUCACCACCAACAGCUCCCCUGGUUUUUUCUCCCUUUCUCUCACCUCACUCUCCCUAAUUAAUCUCAAUAAAUUUUCCCUCCAUCCCCACAAAAUAUACCCCUAAAAAUCUAUUGAUUUCUUGAAUGUUGUUCAAAAUCCAGGCAUAUUGAGAUUUACCCCUUAACAUCCUUUUAGAUUCCACUCUAGCCAAAGCCCCCAUUUCCUCUCUUGAUUGAACCACCACCAUAUCUAACGCUUUGUUUGCCUUUUUUACGUCCUUGAAG